GCCGGGCAUGGUGGCACACACCUGUAAUCCCAGAGGCUUGGGAGGCGGAGGCAGGAGGAUCAUGAGUUUAAAGCCCGCCUCAGCAACUCAGUGAGAUCCUGUCUCCA
rnacentral:sRNA from 1 species